GAGAGGGAGAGAGCGGCUUACGGCGGCAUCGAUUUGCCGCUGAGGAAAGUCCCCACACCGACCGGUUACGCAGCCGCAUUAACUUUGCGGGUGGCGAGAGUCACGGCUCUGACACAGAAACGAUACGGUUCGGGAGCGAGCUUGUGAUGCAGAGUAUGCUGAAGCGUUUGCAGCUCACGAAAAACGAUGGAACGGUGAAUCCCUGCGGGUGCAAGUCAAACAGAGACAUUAAGAACAUUUCCGGGUUUGUCUCGUGUAUGGCGCGUCAGCUGAAUGCCGCAAAAAACAGAAUGGGGCUUACUACUCCCACUC
rnacentral:RNase_P_RNA from 1 species